rnacentral:lncRNA from 1 species
GUGUAGUCUAGUAAGUGUGUUUCUAUGUGGAGUUAAUUGGGGUGGACUUCCAAUUGAAGGCAGCUGUGUGGUGUUGCCUUUGAUUGGAAGUCCUAUAUUAGUUGGGUGUGUUUGUCUGUGUGUUUGUGGGAGAUUGUUCUGUGUUUAGCCUUGUGCCUUGCCAGACUGUCAGUGGAUCGUUCGUUCUCUUGUUUGUUGUUUUUGUGUUCGUUUUGAUUUAAUAAAUGUUCAAAAUGAACAAACACAGUCCUGCUGCAUUUUGGUCCUCCUUCACCGACGAUAACCGUGACAACCCUCAUAGAUAUCAUCCUAACCAACUUGCCCUCCAAAUACACCUCUGCUGGAAUAUGUUUUGUCAUUCAUCCGAUAACAUUGAGGAGUUUAUCACAUCAGUCACCAGCUUCAUUAUUAAGCGCAUUAACGACGUCGUCCCCACAGUGACCAGACGUAUGUACAUAUAGGUAGGUAGGGGUAAAGGAUAGAUAAUAGGCAGUAUACUGUAGGUAGGGGUAAAGGAUAGAUAAUAGGCAGUAUACUGUAGGUAGGGGUAAAGGAUAGAUAAUAGACAGUAGCAGCAGUAUACUGUAGGUAGGGGUAAAGGAUAGAUAAUAGACAGUAACAGCAGUAUACUGUAGGUAGGGGUAAAGGAUAGAUAAUAGACAGUAGCAGCAGUAUACUGUAGGUAGGGGUAAAGGAUAGAUAAUAGACAGUAACAGCAGUAUACUGUAGGUAGGGGUAAAGGAUAGAUAAUAGACAGUAACAGCAGUAUACUGUAGGUAGGGGUAAAGGAUAGAUAAUAGACAGUAACAGCAGUAUACUGUAG